CAGCAGAAGGUGAGAUUUCUUAACCAUAGACACCUCCUGGAAUCUCUGUCUGCAGAGUCUAAUGGAGCAAGAGUGAACCUUCCAGAAUUCAGAAAAUCUCAAUCCUGUUUUCUUCUCAUGUCCUCCAAUGCAAAAAUCACCAGAGAUGUUUGAACUGCAAACCAGGAAGAUUUGUGAGAUUGCACUACCUAUCCUCACUCUAUCUGAAGAUACUUCAAGUGUGACAUUGGAAGUCUUCUCAACUGGCUACCCUCAGCACUCAGAACCUGGCUUAACAUUUGGUCCAAUUAACCAUUGUUUUUCUUUUGUUUCCAUAGAAACCCCUCUUAUUUAAUAUCUGAUUACUUGAAACAUAGGUCUAACUUUGAGAACAUACCUGUAUCAUGCCCCCCUGAAAUGAGUUUGACUGAAAUUACCUAUUGUCAGGACUAAGAGACUGGAUCAGUGAGAUGAAACAACUUGUUAGCUCAAUUUUUUAAUAUGUGAAACUCCCACGGAAGUUUCAGAUGGGGGAGUGGGAGAGGUUUAGGGCAGACUCCCUGACCAUCUGAAUGUGCCACUUUAGCAUGUAGAUUAUUUUGAGCUAAAGGCACUUGAGACCCAGUGGGCUCAAGAGAAACUUUGUCCCUCAUUUAGCCACACAGAAGAAUCCAAAUUGGAGGUCUUUCCCAUAAUAAGUGUUAUUAGCAGAGAUAAAUUUUAUCUGAGUGACCCAUCUGUAUGGCAGGGCAAACAUCUAAUUACCAAACAUCUGUUCUUCUUUUCACCCUGGAAAUGUAUUUCUUUGCUCUGAAAUCCCAGACCCCUAUUCCCCUCUUGUUCAGAAUGACAUAUAUACCUCAUUCUGUCUGCCUGUCUUUGGCAUUUCCAUGUCUAUGUGUAUUCCCUAUACAUAUGCCUAUUAUAUUUGAUUUUCUCCUGUUAAUCUAUUUCAUAUUAAUUUGAUUUUUAGUCCAGCCAAAAAGACCUUGAGCGGGCAGGAGUUCUUGCCUCCUGAGAGUAGUCCUUCUAAAUCCUGAUCCAGACUUUUUACCACAACUAAGCUCUUCAGUAUUGCAAAUCAAAUGCCUAUUGCUUCCUUUUACCAAUCUGGGAAUUCAGAAGGCUUUCAACUGCCUUGAAAUCAAUCAUUUCCACUGUUUCUUUCCUUUCCUUAUUUUUGAUUUAAGACAUUGAGUAUAUAUUAAAUGUCUGUGUGUUCAUCAUGAUGGGAAUGCAAAGAAACAUGUUCCCUACUCAUGAAGCACUUACAAGUGUUAGUUGAGAGUAGAAAUACAUAUGAUCAUAUUCAUGGCAAGACAUAAUUAUGGGAAAAAUCCUGUGGAUUUCCCCUGAAGUUGGUGUGUAACAAAAGUUUAUUCCCUUGUAGACCAUAACUUUUUCAUUUUUCAGUGAGACCUUUGAAGAAUCCUUUAGCAAGGCUGCUUAUCUAAAGAACAGAAUUUUAGCCGUAUUAAGAUGGGGCUGUCAUUUUCAGUGGUAUUGUUCUUUAAAUGGAGCAUAGCAUCAUCUUUGCAUUGGACUAACUGGCCAACAUAAUUGGUGUAGUUUGUUUUUGUCUCUUUAUGUCUUUGGAGUUAUAAUGUAAGUUAAGGAAUAUGGAUGGAACAACACAAACCAAAUGGUUUUCCAACCAACUGUUCUGAUGUGAUGCACGAGAAAUAGCCUCAGCCAGUCCUGGGAAGUGGUAAACUGUGAUGAAGAGCAUGGGAUUUUUGUUAAUAACCAUUCAUUAAGCAGAUACCUAUAAAUAUUUCUUGAGUCCUUACUAUAUACAAUGCACUAUUGAAUAUUCUGAUGAUAUAGCAGUGAAUAAAAGGGAAAGUGAAUAUAGAGCUUAUGUUCCAGUGGGGCAGACAGGCAAUGACCAAUCACUUAGAAAGUUCACAUAGUAAUGAGUGCUGUGCAAAGAAAAACGUGAUUGAUGAUGAAGCACAGAUGGGAGGAUCCAUGAAGCCUUCUGGGGAAAUAUGACCUUCAGGGUAAGACCCAAAUGAUAAGAAGGAGGUGGCAGGAAGACCUGGAGGAAGGGCAGGGGAGAUGCUUCAGGCAGAAGGAGCAUCAGGUGGAGAAGCCAUGAGAUCAGAUGGUCUGGGCACAUUUCAGAAACAGAAUUUAGGCUGGUGUGGCAAGAGCCUGCAGGAGAAGAGUUAUAGGGCAGGGGGUGAGAUCAGAGAGGCAGGCAGGGGCCUGACCAUGGCAGACUUUUUUGGCAGAAUAAGAAGUUUGGUUUUAACUCCAAAGGCAAUAGAAGCCACUGGAGGAUUUUAAGCAGGGGAGUCAUAUGAUCUAAUUUGCAUUUUAAAAAGCAUACUCUUGAUGCUGUGACAAAAGUGAAUUAUAGGAAGGAGGGAGAGAAGCAAGGAGACCAGUUAGGAUGCAUGGGAGUAUUCCAGAUCAGAGAUGGUGGUCUCUGAACAGGAGCAGAAUGAUAAUACAGACAGACCUGAUUACUUGACUCACUAGCAAGAAGAAACUGGUAAACUCUGGUUGCUAAGCCCUAAUUUCCUCACCCAUAAAAAGCAGAUAGUAAUAUCCAUCUUGCAGAUUUGUUUGGGGGAUUGCCUGAGAUAAAACAGAGUGCCUGCUACAAAGCCAAAGGAUAGCAUGCUGGCAAUCUAGAUUGGGAGUCAGCAAACUGGCUCAUUUGGUCCACCAUUUGUUUUUGCUAAUAAGUUUUAUGUGAACAUGACCAUGCCCAUUUGUUAGGCAUGAUCAUUCUCAUUGUACAACAGUGAAGUUGAGUAGUUGUAACAGAAACCAUAGGGUCUGUAAAAUCGAAAAUACUUCAUCUCUGACCCUUUAUAGAAAGAGUUUGCUGACUGCGACCAAGACUGUAACAAAGAGUAGAAAGAAUGUAAGACAGAUGUACUAUAUCUAUAUACCUAGGAAGUGGUGCAUUCAGAGAAAUAUUGGUGGCAUGUCAUGCAGUAUAUUUUUCAAGUGGUCUGUGAAAGAGAAGGCCCAGCUAUAAAGAGGCGAUCAAUAAAAGCAUUUGAAAUAAACUUAAAAUGUCAUUGUCAUAUAAACCAACAAAUAAUACCAUGUAACAUUCAUAUAAUGUCUCUAUCUUUCCAUUCUGUUCAUCAACAGUUUUAUUAAAAUCACUCACUAUAGAUCUAUAAAUUCAAUGUAAAAGAGGAUAAGUGAUGGAGAGGAUAAGAAAUAUAUUUCAAUUAAUUGGAAGACCCAUACUUAAAAGACAGAGUUCAGUCAGGCCGUCAACAAGUAUUAAUUUAGCAUUAAGUAUGUGCUAGGUCCAGUGUUAGGUGCUGGGAUAUAUGGUGGUAGGCAUAUACUACUUCCAGCUUUCACGGUACUUUGAGUUUAAUGUUUCCUUUUAGGGAAGACCUAUAGGACAGUGUGUGAGCAUCUCUGUGAGAAGAAAGUAAGACCCUCUCCUUCUUCAAGAUAUUUUAUCUCCAUCUAUAGUAAAUAUUUUUAAAAUAUUGUUUUUCUUGCUCAUCAUCGGGGAAAUACAAAUCAAAACCACAAUGAGAUACCAGCUCACACCGAUCAGAAUGGCUAAAAUUAACAACUCAGAUGUUGGCAAGGAUGUGGAGAAAGAGCAACCCUAUUGCACUGUUGUUGGGAAUACAAACUGGUCCGGCCACUCUGGAAAACAUGUGGAGUUUCCUCAAAAUAUUAAAAAUAGAACUACCCUACAACCCAGCAAUCGCACUACAAGGUAUUUACCCAAAAGAUACAAAAAUGCUGAUUUGAAGGGGCACAUGCACCCCAAUGUUUAUAGCAGUACUAUCAACAAUAGCCAAGUUAUGGAAAGAGCCCACACGUCCAUCAACCGAUGAAUGGAUUAAGAAGAUGUGGUAUACAAUGGAAUACUGCUUGGCGAUGAAAAGGGAUGAAGUCUUGACAAUUGCAACAAUGUGGAUGGAACUGGAGGGUAUUGUGCUAAGUGAAAUAAGUCAGAGAAAGGCAGAUACAUGAUUUCACUCAUAUGUGGAAUUUGGGAAGCUUAACAGGUGAUCACAGGGGAAGGGAAGGAAAAAAAAAGAUAAAAACAGAGAGGGAGGCAAACCACAAGAGACUCUCAAAUACAGAGAACAAAUUGAGGGUUGAUGAGGGGUGGGGGAGGGGAAGGGUUAAAUAGUUGAUGGGCAUUAAGGAGGGCACUUUUUGGGAUGAGCACUGGGUGUUAUAUGUAAGUGAUGAGUCACUGGGUUCUACCCCUGAAGCCAUGCAUGCUAACUAAGUCGAGAAUAAAAAAAUAUAUAUAGUGGUUUUCUUAGGGCUAUCUGCCAAAAACAUGUAAUAUAAAUAUUCAACUCUACAGUAACUGCAAUGUGAAUGGCACCUGGGUGUGGCGCCCUUUUGCAGUACAGAAACUUGCUCAAUUAUAUGCAGAAGUACAAGUAUUUAGAUGAGAAAGUGACUAUAAUAUUAUAAAGAAGGGACAGCCCUGGACUGAGGAGUGUGAAGACUGUUUCACUGGUUGUCAGUUUUAACUAAGUCGGUGAUCCCUAAGUUGGAUUGUAUCAGUAUCCUAAGAGUGUCCACAAGAAUUUCAUAUGACUCUCUAAACCUUUUAAUGUAAAAUUUGAACAAGCUACACACUGUUCUUGAAAGAGUGGACAAGGGGAAGAGCGGGCAAAAUAAAACCAUCAGUUAUAGGAUGUCUUUGUGACUGGAAAGUUGAUGCUCUUGGAGGGCACAGCUGGUUUGGGGGCAGCGUUGGUGAGUUGUGCUGUUGUGUUUCAAUUUUCAUCAAGUUGAACUUAUUUAUUUACUUAUUUUCCAGUUUGAAUUUAAAAACUCAGAUUGGAAGUUCAAGGUUUUAUAUCACACAGUGAUAUACAAUUAGAAUCCCUAGAUGCAGGAGUCCUGCAGAAGGCUACUCGAAACAGCUGUAUAAAACACAAAGGCUGAAACUAGGCGAUUCCAUGGUUGCUGGGAGCAAAGCAUGUAAGGAGUAGGUCAAGGAGCUUCAUGGUUAUUAUUUCCCUUGGCUCAGGCCAAAGAUGCAAACACCUGAAUUAAAAGAUCUUGGUUCUGGUUUAUCAGAACUAAAAGGAAGAGAGCAAAAGAAGCAACAGGGAACUAAAAGGAGUAUGUGGGGAAAAAGAAAACAUUUUAAAGGAAAAUCUGUUCCUUUUUAAUCUCCCAAUCCCGUUCUCAAGGUGUCAUUUUCUUUCACUCCUUUCCUCUUGUGUCCUAGGUGCCAUGUCAAUGAACAACUCAAAGUGCCUCUUUCCUUUACUUUCCUAAGCACCCUCAAUCAGAAUCAUGCAGCUUAUUUCAGUGGGAAUUCAGCCAAGGGUAAUAAGGGAAGUUUGCUUUUCCUUCUUACUAUGAGGCUGAAAUUUAUCAAUUUAUUUCUCAUUGCUAAUUACUUUUGCUUUAUGGUAACUUUUUAUAUGUAUUUUUAAGGAUUGAUAUUACUAUUAUUCAUACUAUCAUCACUUUAUGUGUUUUUGAAAUUCCAGACCAAAGUACGGGGAAGUGAUAAAUCAUGUUAAUUGGAAUAUGGAAAUAGAGUUUACCACACUGAUCUUUUCUAUAACUCUACUAUGAAGUUUAUUAUGAUUCUGAUUCUGAUUAUUACCCUUUUUUGUAAACUAUUUUGUGAUUGGGUUUUAAGUUUUAUUUUUAAGUAAGUAAUAUCUACAUUCAACGUGGGGCUCAAACUCAUGAUCCCGAGAUCAAGAGUCACAUGCUCUACCAACUGAACCAGCCAGGUGUCCCAUGUGAUUGGGUUUUUAAAAUAUGUUGAGUUAAGGGGUGCCUGGGUGGCUCAGUCGGUUGAGCGUCCGACUUUGGCUCAGGUCAUGAUCUCCCAGUUUGUGAGUUUGAGCCCUGCGUCAGGCUCUGUGCUGACACCUUGGAGCCUGCAGCCUGCUUUGGAUUCUGUGUCUCCUUCUCUCUCUGCCCUUCCCCCACUUGUGCCCUGUCUAUCAAAAAUAAAUAAAAUAUAAAAUAUGUUGAGUCAGACAAUGUUUCUCAUUCCAUAGGAGAUACCCGAAUAAUCCCUAUUUCCUUUGAAACGUUGAAGAAAUUUAAGGAACUAAGUGAUGGAAGUAGACACUAAAAUAUGUUAUUUAACCGUAUUCUAAAUGGGAUUGUAAAAACUUACUCAAUACACAAACAUUGUCUUCUCAUUCCAGUUGACUUUGAUAAAAAUUUUGCUAAGCCAUGAUCUUUACUGUAUAUUUAGAAGUAUGAGUUUCUACCCAGUAGAGACCAUAAAUGGGGAGAAAGGCCAAAAGCCACAAGAGAAAAAACAUUUUGGUUCAACUUUGUGCUUGGUGAGCUGUUUUCUCUCAUAAAAUUUACAGAUUAAGGGACAUAUUCCUAUACACAUUCAUAGUCCCCAUGGGUAGUGGUAACCAAAUAUGUUUCUUUUGAGAAAUGUUUUUUUGUUACUUGCUUAUCUUGUGAAACAAAUACACAUUCACUAACCAUAAUCUCCUGAACUUAGAAAAAAAAUUUUUUCUCACAGGCAAAGACUUUCUGUAGUAACUCUUAUUUCCCCGCUAAUUACAGAUUCCAUAGACAUCAUGCAAAAAAUAAACUUUUCUCAUUUGCUAAUGUCCAGGUAGGAAAUUCCUACUGUUUAAACACACUUGUGAGUUAGAGUCUGAUUAUAGUAUAAAUUACUCUGGAAGGAAUAGAGUGUCUAAUUGAAGUUGUGGGGAAAUAUAUAAAUGUAGAAGCAGCAAAGGUAUGACAGGGUAAGAGCCCUUCUAGUGGUGGUUCUUGAAGUAACAUUAGGUGACUUAAGGACAAGGUAUUCACUACUUCUGUUAACACUGAGGAAAAUGUUUACAUCUAUUGCCAGUGCUUGUAUCCUCUAAACCCUUGUUAAUUUUUUUUUUUAUUGAAGAGAGAGGGUUCAGGCAGAAUACAGAAUAAAUCAAGAAAUUUAUAAUAAUUUGUUUUCAUCAUAUCUGUUGGGUGCAAGUGAAAGUGGUUUUCCACUAACAUAGUAAGAUAAUAUUUCUUUUAAAAAUAAAUAAGCUAAGAGUAAGUUAAUGUAAAUGAAAAUAUUAAGUAAUAAAGGUGAUACACAAAUAUGGCAAGUAUUGUGAAGUGAUAGAGUUCAGAAUAUUCCAUUAGAGUUCUCUUAAAAGAGGUUAAAUCGUCUUCAACCCAGACUUCUUCCAACUUCUUUUUUAUCUUUCCUUCUUUCCUCUUUCCUCCUCUGAUAUGUUCUACUCUCAAUGAUUCAACAGCAUGUACUGAGCCCAUGUGUAGUGUCUGACAUUGUGCUGGUUACUGUGAACACAGAAAUACAGAGAUUAAUACAUCAUCAUCUUCACUUUCAACCUGCUCAGUCUCACUGCAGACACAGUUAUGCAAACAAUUAUUAUACAAUGAGAAAUCUGAUGUGCAUGCACGGUAUAGUGUAGCCCAGAGGAGGGACAGCCGUGCAGGAAGCAGGGAAAGGUAUCGGGUUUCGACCUUGGGAAUCAGUCCGAUGAAAUAAUAGUCCAAGUUCAUAAAUAUAUCCUUAAUCUAUUCAGCAAACCUCUAUUGAGCCUGAUGUGUUAAAUACUGGGGAUUUGGACAUGAAAAAGAUACAGUUGACACUUCAAGAUGCUUUUGAUUAUAAGGGGAGACAGAUAAGGAAAACAAUGGUUAUAUAGAUCUAUAUACCUUAUCUGAAACUUUUGAAGGCAGAUGAGUGUCACAAUCCUGAAUUUUUAGAAUGUUAGUAAGGUGCACAUACUGUAUACUGCAUAACAGCCAUAAAAGCGUAUAGAGCAGUACCCCACAAUGAAAACAUGUGACUACUCACACUAAAUGGAAUAAAGACUAAAUGGAAUAAAUAGCCUCACA